GAUGAACGCUGGCGGCGUGCCUAACACAUGCAAGUCGAGCGAAGCGCCUUACUUGAUUUCUUCGGGAUGAAAGUAUUGUGACUGAGCGGCGGACGGGUGAGUAACGCGUGGAUAACCUGCCUCAUACAGGGGGAUAACAGUUAGAAAUGACUGCUAAUACCGCAUAAGACCACAGCACCGCAUGGUGCAGGGGGAAAAACUCCGGUGGUAUGAGAUGGAUCCGCGUCUGAUUAGCUAGUUGGUAAGGUAACGGCUUACCAAGGCAACGAUCAGUAGCCGACCUGAGAGGGUGACCGGCCACAUUGGGACUGAGACACGGCCCAAACUCCUACGGGAGGCAGCAGUGGGGAAUAUUGCACAAUGGGGGAAACCCUGAUGCAGCGACGCCGCGUGAGCGAUGAAGUAUUUCGGUAUGUAAAGCUCUAUCAGCAGGGAAGAUAAUGACGGUACCKACU
rnacentral:rRNA from 1 species